GUGGGGAAUAUUGGACAAUGGGCGCAAGCCUGAUCCAGCCAUGCCGCGUGAGUGAUGAAGGCCUUAGGGUUGUAAAGCUCUUUUGUCCGGGAAGAUAAUGACUGUACCGGAAGAAUAAGCCCCGGCUAACUUCGUGCCAGCAGCCACGGUAAUACGAAGGGGGCUAGCGUUGUUCGGAAUUACUGGGCGUAAAGCGUGCGUAGGCGGUCAGCCAAGUCAGGGGUGAAAGCCCGGGGCUCAACCUCGGAACUGCCCUUGGGACUGGUUGACUUGAGUAUGGAAGAGGGUAGUGGAAUUCCCAGUGUAGAGGUGAAAUUCGUAGAUAUUGGGAAGAACACCAGUGGCGAAGGCGGCGACCUGGUCCAUUACUAACGCUGAGGUGCGACAGCGUGGGGAGCAAACAGGAUUAGAUACCCGAGUAGUCC
rnacentral:rRNA from 1 species